AAAGGAGUCGAUUACCUUGGAGUCCAACGCCUUGAUUUCCCUCGGCCCUUGCACGAAUUGCUUCACGACUGCUUCUUUACAAAACGCCACAUCUCCCUUAAGUUCCCUUGUGUCCUUUAUCUCUUCUUGAAGCGCCACAAACCUUGCCUCUAUGUUGUCAAGGUGAACCUGGACUUCCCUCCGCAUCUUGUCUGCCAUGGUGUUGAGAGCGCCAAGGAGCUCAUCUCGUAGCCCUUCCACCAAGCCACGCAGUUCAUCCUUACCAUUGUCCACCAUGG
rnacentral:lncRNA from 1 species